GAUGAACGCUAGCGGGAGGCCUAACACAUGCAAGCCGAGCGGUAUUGUUUCUUCGGAAAUGAGAGAGCGGCGUACGGGUGCGUAACACGUGUGCAACCUGCCUUUAUCUGGGGGAUAGCCUUUCGAAAGGAAGAUUAAUACUCCAUAAUAUAUUGAACGGCAUCGUUUAAUAUUGAAAGCUCCGGCGGAUAGAGAUGGGCACGCGCAAGAUUAGCUAGUUGGUGAGGUAACGGCUCACCAAGGCGAUGAUCUUUAGGGGGCCUGAGAGGGUGAUCCCCCACACUGGUACUGAGACACGGACCAGACUCCUACGGGAGGCAGCAGUGAGGAAUAUUGGUCAAUGGGUGCAAGCCUGAACCAGCCAUCCCGCGUGAAGGACGACUGCCCUAUGGGUUGUAAACUUCUUUUGUAUAGGGAUAAACCUACCCUCGAGAGGGUAGCUGAAGGUAUUAUACGAAUAAGCACCGGCUAACUCCGUG
rnacentral:rRNA from 1 species